ACACUUUAAGGGGAUUUCUCUAAACAUUUUCCAAGGCCAAACUCUGCUAGCACCAAGGGUCCGCUUCCGUAUCUCAGAAGGGAUUCUGCUCUGCGGCUGCCACCACCCCCACCACCCCCUGCCCCUAGGUACUGAGCACUUCGUGCAGUGUAGGCAUGGGGCUGAGCAUUUGUGCACAAGAGCUUAUUUAAUUUUAGAAGUCCUGGGGGUAGAUCCCACUCGUCUUAGAUCACUUUCCAUCAAUCGAGGCUGGGAGAAGUCAGGCACAGCCGCUACUCAAGGCAGCCAGCAUCCUUUGCAGCCAGGUCCAGAUCUCAAUCAUCACCCCCCCAAGGACCACAGAAGGAUGGGACUCAGAUGCUUCAGGCACUUUUGACACUCCUGAGGACCUGGAAGCUGCCUCCCCAAAGAGGGAGCUCCCUUUCUAGGCAAUUCUCUGGGUGGGGUGGCCCCCAUGUGCCACCCAGUCCACUUCUCUAGGGAGAACCCAGGUUAAAGAGUUCAUUAGAGCACUGUAUGGGUCCAGAUCUGAGAUGUAUGUGCUCUGUAUGGGUCCAGAUCUGAGAUGGCAAUCUUAGAGGAGCAUAUUUUGAUCUAUGACAAUCAGGAACCUUGAUUAAUCUCCAACAAAAGUUCCCCAGAAAUCUCUCUUAACUUUCCCUAUUCAUACAUCUUCUAAACUAUAAAUUCAUCAAAAGACAUCAUGUAUGAGAGAACAGACACGCUGCGGUAAUACCUGGCGGUACUGAGUGUCUUCUGAAAACGUGGAAGGUUCACAUUUGUCCUCUGGCGGACACAAAAGGUUAUGAUCACCUGAAAGGCAAAUAUUUUUAAAUUGAAUUUUUUGAUGUUUAUUGAAGUUCUUAUGCAUAUGCAGCCCUGUAUACCUUUUUCUUCUCUCUAGUACAAUAUUUAUCCUUGAAGAAGGUGUAUAGAAUCCUUCAUAUAUGGGAAUUGUAUAGUUUUUACAUUGUAAUCUACGAAAAAUAAAUUUAUGAAUAAAAAUCAAAUACAGGGACUAAAGGGUCAGCCUUGAAUGUCAUGUAUACCUGAGUUCUGAUUCCAGCUCUGAAGCUUACUAGCUAUGCCACUUGGGGAACAUUAGAUUAUGUAAACUUUUAAACCUUUAUAUGUAAUAGAAAGUUUCUUUCGUUAUAUGCGCUAGAAAUUGGAUCCACUUAAUUUAAGAAAAACAAGAAUUUAUUACCUGGCUGCUGAGAAUUCCUUGGGAAGAAGCAGAAGGCCAAGGAGCAGGACUUGCAGUCAGUACCACCCAAGCAGCUGCAAAAGGUUCUGAAGGACACCUGAACCUUCUUGGAAGGUUCCUGGAAGGACACCUGAGCACUGUCUCUAGAAUUACGGAACUCUCCUGAAGGGAGAAUCUGAGGUUGUGUUAGGCCAAAGACUGUAUCUUGGGUGUAUCAGGACAGUGGUAAGAAGGUUCAAAGAGGAGGUGACUAUAGAGCCACCCUCGUCCUCCUCUGAGGCUGGGAAGAAAAAAAAAAUUUCAUAAUAUUAACAACAUCAAACGGCCAGAGGUUUGUUUAAGAGGAUUCAGUGAGAUUGUGCAUGUGACCUUAGAUGGAAUGCUAUAUUUUUUGUUGCCUCAGAAUUGGAAAAUAGGCUCACCAGCUGAGCUGUAAUCAGGGAGAGUUUCCUUACCUUCUAAGAAGGUUCCUUCUCUAGGGCUUAUUACUUGGAGAUUAACAGGCCACGAGGUAGUGCAUGCUGUAGGUGCCUUGCCCAGACCACCAACCAAGCCAGCACACCCAGCCUUCUGCUCUUGGCUCAGAGCUGCCCCUUCUUCUCCAGAGAAUCCCCCUCGGAUGGUUGGGGCCAGCUUCCUGCUGCACCCCUAUUUGCCCCACUCUGUAGGGUGACCUGAAGACAAGAUGGAUGGGCUGAUAUGGGGCUCAAAGACCAGUUCUUUUUCUUCUUCCGGACGAAGGCAGUGCUGCAGUGUGUUUCAUCCUCUCAGCCCCUUUAUGCAUCAGGCCCAUCCUUCACGUUCUCAGUGAAUCUUGUCCUCCCAGAUCUGUCUCAGCCUCUGCUUGUAGGGGACGCAAGGCACAUUUUCCUCCCAAUCUGAGUGUAGAAGGAGAGGGAAGUCAUCAGUAUUUGCUGUGUGGAAUAUUAAGGGCACCUUUAUUCCCAACUUCUCAUAUUUCUGCUCUGGACACAAUUUCAAUUCAAAAACAAUAACAGCAACAACCACACAAGACCAACUAGGGAAUCUGUAAUGAGACGUGAAGGACUGGCGGAUGUGUGUCAAGAGACCUGGGAUUUCAGAAGUAAAUCUAGACUCAUGUGGAAGAACAGGAAUAGACUUCACAAGACACCUGCCAUCGGAAAGUCCUCCAACGGGGCGUUUAAAACACGAGGAGUUGUUUCAACGUGUAAUUAUAUCAGCAAGGAUGGUCAGGGCCCCAAAUAAUUUAGUUGAGCUCAGAAAGGAGUCAGGAGAAUGUGAGCCGAUUUCGGAGGGAAAUACCAGGGAGAUUAAGUACGAUCCUGAGAACUCUUGGAUGACCCAGUUCAUGAGGGUGGGGGUGUAAGUGCCGCCUGUUCCCGAUACAUGCCUGAGAGAUUUACGGAGUUAGGGUUUGGGAAGCACAGGAAGAUAAGGCACAUUACAAACAAAGCUGUCACCUAUAUAGUAUUUCUGCCAAAAGGGUUUAAUUUGUGGCUAAACAUGAGUAAACCAAUAGAUAAACAACCAAAAUCAAUUUUUAAAAGUCAAAAACAGCCCGAAAAACCUGCGAGAUUAAAAGAGACUGAAAAGACAUGACGAUUAAAUGCAAAACAUGAACCUUGAUUGGAGCCUGGAUUAACACAGCAAAUAAACAAACCCAAAAAAGCUAACAGUUCCAGAGAACAAUAUUGGGACAUGAGGAGAACAUUGGGUAUGAUGUAUGUUAGUUAAUAACAUAAAAUUAAUAUUAGACGUUCUCAUGUAGUCAUCCUAGAAUGGAUAUUCAGAAAUUUCUUUUUCCUAAAGGAUAGAUACUGAAGUAUUUAGGUAUAAAGUAUCAUUAUGCCUGCAGAUAAUUCUCAAAUGUGUGAUCAAAAACAACAGAAAUGGAGUUCCCCUUGUGGCUCAGGGUGUUAAGAACCUGCCAUAGUAUCCAGGAGGAUUUGGGUUUGGUCUGGCAUUGCUGUGAGCUGUGGUGUAGGUCCCAAACGCAGCUUGGAUCUGGUGUUGCUGUCUGUGGUGUAGGCCGGCAGCUGCAGCUCUGAUUCAACCCCUAGCCCGGGAACUUCCAUAUGCCUCAGGUGUGGCC
rnacentral:lncRNA from 1 species